CCCCGACCGGAUCUGCCGUCUUGCCUCGCCCUCCUACCCCCUUCCUCCUGCAUUUGGCAACCUCCCUCCUCGAGUCCAUCACGCCGCAUCGUGCUGCUGGAUCAGGCCAGCCACCGAGCACGGCGUCAACCCUAACCUUCCUCCCUAUGCCGUCGCGACGGGCGCAGCCCCCAAGGCCAGAUUCACUGGCCCACCAUGGCGACGCACCCGUCCGGAUCCAGCUGGGCUGCUCCAGGACGAAUUCCCCACCUCGAACCUCUAUUCAACCUUUGAUCUCUCUGGCUCGGUUCCAUGAUCUCCUCUUUUGGACAGAUGCGUUUCAACAGGGCCGUUCUAUAGUCGAGAGACCAUCGCCGUGCAGCUCGGCGAAACGAGUGAUGUGGUACACUUGCAAAAUUUUGUAGGUUUUGCUUGUAGGUAGUGUGCACUGCGUCAGGUGACCUCGCCUCCGUGUAGUCGUAUCCGUGCAGUGCGGCCCGUGCGUGGGCAGCAGCUCGCAAAGGUCUCAUGGGGUAAAUUUGCCCCUGUGCAGCUCAGUUGCCGCCUCUAUGCGGUUCAGCUAACUCACUGCUGCAGUACGUCGCUGGUGGUGCUCAAGUUUUUAUUGUUUUUGUGCAGUGUAGUUUUAUUUUAUGUGUUUAGAUUUUAUUAGUUUUUUUGUUUCUGUGCAGUGCUAUUAGACAUCAGUGGUGCUCAAGUCAUAAUUGCGCUAUUCUACUGUUGGUGCAGCUCGCUGAUUCAUGGUACGUGGUUCUGGCGUUGCGGGCAAGCAGUACGGUUCCGGCCACCCGCCCCUCCCCAUGCCGAUGCGCUGGACGACAACAACACAACAACACCGGAGGUGGCGCCAUGGCCAUCUCAAUCUUGUCCCUGCGCCACACCAUGGAUCUCGUUCGAUAGCGACCUCAUCGACGACCAAGUGUUGCAGCCCACUUUUUUAGUUUUGCAAUUCGCAUGUUAAAGUUUAUUUUUGUAGUGCGUGUGUGCUUCUCGGUGUGAGCUCAAACGAUGACAUAGAUCAGUCCACUCUAUUCUCUAAUGCAGAAAAGAAGGAAAAACCAAUUAUAAAAAAUAUGCAAGACUC